CCGAAAAAAUGGCAGCAACCAUGGCGACCGCAUCAACCGUGAUGGGGCUGGGCAGUUCCUCCCUCUCACCAAGCAGGACAUGCCUCUCUUCAGGUUCAUACUUCACAUACACACACACGCACACGCACACACACAUAUAUAUAUAUGUGCUCUCACUAAAAUGCGCCUUUGUACAAUAUACUAAUGUUGCAAUGCUCUUUAAUUGCAGGCUUUGUGAAGCCUAUUGUGGUUGGCAACCCUCUGAGGCAAGAUAGGGCUUCUGGAGGAAGGUUCACAUGGUAAUUUACCUAGCUAUCGUUUUUUAAGAAGAUCAUGACCGUUGAUUUUGUUGUUGUAACGUAGAAAUUGUUGUAUGCGGUUGUGUCAAUGUGUCAAUCGUAUUAAUACAGGUACAAUACGUGGUUUAUAUAAGACAAUACGCGGUUAAUUAAUUAUAAUCAAUGUUUAGCCUAAAUUAAGCAGACAAUUAAUGGUCAGAUAUCCAUGCAAUCCAUGCACUGAUGCAUAUAUGGUUUUGUUUUGUGUUGAAUGUGUUGGGAACAAACAGUAGCUUUCAGAGAGAUUGGCUGCGGAGGGAUCUGAAUGUGAUUGGGUUUGGGUUGAUCGGAUGGUUGGCUCCGUCGAGCAUACCAUUAAUCGGAGGUAAGAGUUUGACUGGGCUCUUCUUUGAGAGCAUUGGUGCUGAGCUCGCUCACUUCCCCUCACCUCCUGCUCUCACUUCUCAAUUUUGGUUAGUAACCCUUCUUCUAAAUUUUGUUCCUUUAGUGUUUGAUCUUGUUUAGAUUGAUAUCACAGGUUUUUCUUUGUUUUUUUUCUUUUUUCUUCAAACCCAAUAUUGCACUCCAAAGGGCACAAUUACGACAUCUAGGCCCAAAUGGCCAAGACAAAUACAACUAGCCCAGCAAAAAAAAAAAAAAAAGUUUUUAUCACAAAUGAACUCUAAAAUUGACUCCCACCAUCAAAAUGGUCACUAAAUUUAAAAAUUCUGAAUAUGGGUGUUGCAAAUCAAUGUCAUCAUUCGGUUGAAUAUUGGAGUGGUGGACCACAAUGUGCAACAUCAACACACUAACAGACUUUCUAACAUAAUUAAGAUGGAAGGAUGAGAGUGAUUUGCAACACUCAUAUUCAAGAAUAACAUUGAUCAAUUUUCAAUUUCUUGAUAGAGUGGGUCAAUUUCAGAGAUCAUUUGUGAAAAAAAUCCAAAAUCUUUUAUAGGGCCCCUACCACAUAUAUGCAGCAAAACUCCCUUAAAAUAAUCCCAAACAACCCCCAAUUCCCAAAUUAAAAGUUUUUCUAAUACAAGCAGAUACUAGGGAAGGUGAAUUGAAUUAAGGUGAUAUGGGGGUAAAGUUGUAACUAAAUGAGCUACAAACAGCUAGAAUCCCAAAAUAAAAGGUUAAGUGGUCAAAAAUAUACUUGCACUAGCUCUUUUAUAUGUACUUGAGCGGUUAAGUAGGUUAUCUCACUAAUUACGUUUUAUAGAGUGACUUGUUUGUAUUCUCGAUCAGUUUUGCAUGUUUACUAAUAUAUUGAGCUAUUUCAAAGCGACAUAAACUUGUCUAUUAGAUAUAAGAUUGAUUAGGUCGUGUGAUAAACUUAAUCGUGUGACGAAGAAACGUAGCACUCCUUGAGAUAAGGAAUUAGGAGGCUGGUUAUUAUAUGUUUGGCAUUUGAUUCUCAGUAAGUGUAGAAAUAAAAAAGGGGGAAAAAGAAAAGAAACGAAGGUCCCACCGGGAUUUGAACUCAGGUUACUGGAUUCAGAGUCCAAUGUCCUCACCACUAGACCAUGGCACCGUUCUUGUUUUAUUUAGUCAGUUCACUUUCUAGCUAUCUAAAGAAAAACAUUAAUUACAUUUUUUUUUUUUGAAUACAUCAAUAUUUUUACAUUAAGGGGAGGGGAAGUUUGGCUAUGCCACACUAGGCUAAUUACAUUCUAAAUCCUUUUAAGUUUGGGUCGUUUUCCAUUGUAAAUCCUUUAAUUUAGGGUGAUUUUCUAAUUGGGCCAUGAGGAUUCAAAAUUUUCAUAUUAUAGCCUGAGGUCUUAAAAUGGUAUCAAUUUGUAAUGACAACCUAAUAUUUCAAAAAUAAUCCAUUGGGAAACUUGAGAUUAAAUACUAAAUACAACAAACAAUUAUUCUUUACAUCUCUACUCUUCUUCAUCCCUCAUUUUCCCGAUGUGUUUUUCCUCCACCAUUAUAGUUAUCAAACGGGCUCUAAUUUUUAUGACUUAAACUAAAGUAAUGAGCUGAACCCUCGUGCAAGUGUAAAGAAAGAGUAUUACGCUUUUAUAAGAAAAAGAGCAAAACUGGCAUUCAAUCUAAAUUUUCUAAUGUUUUUUGCUUCAAGUAAAUAUGACGAGGAUAUACAAUUUUUUGAGCAGGUUGUGGCUGAUAACAUGGCACCUGGGGCUUUUCAUCACCCUUACCUUUGGGCAGAUUGGCUUCAAGGGGAGGACUGAAGAUUACUUUGAAAAAUGAUCCAUUUUUAAUUAGUUUUUGUAAAAUCUAUAUAUAUGCUUAAUGUUCAGUUAUCUCAAUUUCUUUUCCUUUCGUCUCGUACUGUAA
rnacentral:lncRNA from 1 species